CGCUGGCGGCGUGCUUAACACAUGCAAGUCGAACGGUGAAGGAGCUUGCUUCCGGAUCAGUGGCGAACGGGUGAGUAACACGUGGGCAAUCUGCCCAGACUUGGGAUAACUACUCGAAAGAGUAGCUAAUACCGAAUAUUCAGCCUUGCAGGCAUCUGCGAGGCUGGAAAGUUUCUCGGUCUGGGAUGAGCCCGCGGCCUAUCAGCUAGUUGGUGAGGGUAAUGGCUCACCAAGGCGACGACGGGUAGCCGGCCUGAGAGGGCGACCGGCCACACUGGGACUGAGACACGGCCCAGACUCCUACGGGAGGCAGCAGUGGGGAAUAUUGCGCAAUGGGCGAAAGCCUGACGCAGCAACGCCGCGUGCGGGAUGAAGGCCUUCGGGUUGUAAACCGCUUUCAGCAGGGAAGAAGCGAAAGUGACGGUACCUGCAGAAGAAGCACCGGCUAACUACGUG
rnacentral:rRNA from 1 species